CAUAUACUCCCUCCGUCCGAAAAUACUUGUCAUCAAAAUGAAUAAAAAGGGAUGUAUCUAGAUGUAUUUUAGUUCUAGAUACAUCCUUUUUUGUCCAUUUUGAUGACAAGUAUUUUCGGACGGAGGGAGUACUUG
rnacentral:pre_miRNA from 1 species